AUAUAUGUUUGCAACUGUAUUAUUAAAAGUUACUUCAAAAUGCCAUUUUAAGUCUUAAAGUACCUUGUAUUUUAUUUAUUCUAAAUUUUAUAUUUCAGUUCACAGAGUCACUGGGAAAUUCGUUACGCAUGUGCAUCACUACAGAAUACCUGGAAAUGGUGGACAAGCAGGAGGAGGAGGAGGGGGAGGAAAAGGAGGACCUGGUGGUCCAAAAGGGCCAUCACCAGGUA